rnacentral:rRNA from 1 species
AUACGGAGGGUGCAAGCGUUAUCCGGAAUCAUUGGGUUUAAAGGGUCCGUAGGCGGGCAAUUAAGUCAGAGGUGAAAUCCCACAGCUCAACUGUGGAACUGCCUUUGAUACUGGUUGUCUUGAGUUAUAUUGAAGUAGAUAGAAUAUGUAGUGUAGCGGUGAAAUGCAUAGAUAUUACAUAGAAUACCGAUUGCGAAGGCAGUCUACUAAGUAUAUACUGACGCUAAUGGACGAAAGCGUGGGGCGCGAACAGGAUUAGAAACCCUAGUAGUCC